GGCAAGGAAGCUGGCACCCGUGCCUCUUCUGCCGCCUGCCUGCUCCUUGAGCCGGGGAAGUUGGGACUGGGCGGCAGUGACGCCCGGAGAACUGUGACUCUUGUCCUCCAGCACAGUGCUGCCCUCCGUAGGCUCCGGGUUGUGCUGGGGCUUUCAGUUCCUCCUAGCAUGACUGAGAUCUGACCAGCCGACUCACGAGUUGCUUCUUGUGCCACCACUGCAGUGCUGGGGCCUCUUCAUCGCUCCAAACUACAGCACUGUCAUGGCAGCUGCCUCUACUUCCAGCCCUGUGAUUUCACAGCCCCAGUUCACAGCCAUGAACGAACAACAGUGCUUCUACAACGAGUCUAUCGCCUUCUUCUAUAACCGGAGUGGAAAGUAUCUAGCCACAGAAUGGAACACUGUGAGCAAGCUGGUGAUGGGACUGGGCAUCACUGUCUG
rnacentral:lncRNA from 1 species